rnacentral:sRNA from 1 species
AUGUACCACUCGUAGACUGCGGUUCCUCCACCGUCUGCACCCGGCUGGCGACUGCUCGCUCUGGUUCGUUAGGC